AAAAAUCAGACUUUAUGGGAUUGGACCUGUGACUUUAGAACAUUGGCAAGAAAUCAACGAUGUUGAUUGUGUGGCUUUGUUUUGACUUUUGAGCCUGUCUCUACUUUUUACUAUUAUUUGUAAACUUGAAUUUUUUUUAAAUGGAAAUGUUCCAAAUGUUGAACGACUCAACUGUAGGAUCUUUAUUGGUUAUUAAAAAAAUUAUAAUAUCAGCUUUAAUCUUGCUUGCAAAUGGUUAAUUGUAUAAGAUUUUGUCUGAAUCAUACAAAAUUCCACUUUACUGGUUUUUGUGUUUAACUUGUGUUGUUUUUGUAGCAUGCUUUAGCGUUCAUGUGAGAGGAUCAGAGUACAUUCCACUACUUGGAUCCAGUGAUCCAAGUUCCUUCUUAUUGGGGGUGCCUGAUAUUGAACUAUGAAUUUUCCCUGUCUAAAGAGGAAAAGAUUUUCUUCCAACGAGAAAUUGAUCAUGGAACCUGACUACAUGUCCAUAUGCCCGCUGAUUUCAUCAAUUCUCCCUUUUCUAGUUACAAUGCAAGAGGAGGAAAAAGGCUUUGCUUUAUUGCUUGAAUUAAUGAGUUCCUUGGCUUUGCUUAGUGAAGAUAGUUGUUUUACUUUUCUCUCAUGAAUAAAUGGCAGAUUUGGAGAAAUUUAAUUUGCCAUUACCCUUUCAUAUGCAGUACUAAUGUGCCUUGUGUUGUUACACCAUUUGUUUGGAGGGAAUGGGAGAGGAAAAGGGAGGGGAUUGGAUUGACAAAUUGUUGGGUAGAAAAAGAGUAGGGAGGGGGGGUGGUCUAAUGGGAAUCCAAUGAACCUUUAGUUCUAAUGGUACUUUUUAGUUUUUACUCCUGUAACAAGGGGAUUAAGGAUAAUGUUGUGGAUUCAUGACUUACAAGAGCCGUGUAUAACUUAAACUUAGCAUAGUUGUGUAAAAUUCUAAUUUUAUUUUCAUUAUUUAAGCUAU